AGUACCGUGAGGGAAAGGUGAAAAGCACCCCGGAAGGGGAGUGAAACAGUUCCUGAAACCGUGUGCCUACAAUUAGUCAAAGCCCGUUAAUGGGUAAUGGCGUGCCUUUUGUAGAAUGAACCGGCGAGUUACGUUUGCUUGCGAGGUUAAGAUGAAAAGUCGGAGCCGUAGCGAAAGCGAGUCUGAACAGGGCGAAUGAGUAAGCAGAUGUAGACCCGAAACCAAGUGACCUACCCAUGACCAGGUUGAAGGUGUGGUGAAACACACUGGAGGACCGAACCCAUGUAUGUUGAAAAAUGCUGGGAUGAGUUGUGGGUAGCGGUGAAAUUCCAAACGAACUUGGAGAUAGCUGGUUCUCUCCGAAAUAGCUUUAGGGUUAGCCUCGGAGGAUGGAUCAUGGAGGUAGAGCACUGUUUGAACUAGGGGCCCAUCAAGGGUUACUGAAUUCAGAUAAACUCCGAAUACCAUCGAUCUUACUCCGGGAGUCAGACAGUGAGCGAUAAGGUCCAUUGUCGAAAGGGGAACAGCCCAGAUCACCAGUUAAGGUCCCUAAAUUUAUGCUAAGUGGAAAAGGAUGUGGCGUUGCACAGACAACUAGGAUGUUGGCUCAGAAGCAGCCACCAUUUAAAGAGUGCGUAAUAGCUCACUAGUCGAGUGGCACUGCGCCGAAAAUAUACCGGGGCUAAGCAUAAUACCGAAACUGUGGGUGCACCCGUAA
rnacentral:rRNA from 2 species